CUACGGGCGGCUGCAGUGGGGAAUAUUGGACAAUGGGGGAAACCCUGAUCCAGCAAUGCCGCGUAUGUGAAGAAGGCCUGCGGGUUGUAAAGCACUUUCGGUUGGGAGGACUGCUUCUAGCACUAAUAUUGUUGGAAGUUGACGUUACCUUCAGAAGAAGCACCGGCUAACUCCGUGCCAGCAGCCGCGGUAAUACGGAGGGUGCAAGUGUUAAUCGGAAUUACUGGGCGUAAAGCGCGCGUAGGCGGCUAGAUCAGUCGGGUGUGAAAGCCCCGGGCUUAACCUGGGAACUGCAUCCGAUACUGUCUAGCUUGAGUACAGGAGAGGAGAGUGGAAUUCCACAUGUAGCGGUGAAAUGCGUAGAUAUGUGGAGGAACACCAAUGGCGAAGGCAGCUCUCUGGCCUGAUACUGACGCUGAGGUGCGAAAGCGUGGGGAGCAAACAGGAUUAGAUACCCCGGUAGUC
rnacentral:rRNA from 1 species